rnacentral:tRNA from 1 species
GCCUGGAUAGCUCCAUUGGUUAGAGCGUGGUGCUGAUAAUGCCAAGGUUGCAGGUUCGAUCCCUGUAUGGGGCA